GCCUAACACAUGCAGUCGAGCGAGGGGAGUUCUUCGGAACAAACCUAGCGGCGGACGGGUGAGUAACACGUGGGCAACCUGCCUCAAAGAGGGGAAUAGCCUCCCGAAAGGGAGAUUAAUACCGCAUAAAGUUAUUUUUUCGCAUAAAGAGAUAACCAAAGGAGCAAUCCGCUUUGAGAUGGGCCCGCGGCGCAUUAGCUAGUUGGUGAGGUAACGGCUCACCAAGGCGACGAUGCGUAGCCGACCUGAGAGGGUGAUCGGCCACAUUGGAACUGAGACACGGUCCAGACUCCUACGGGAGGCAGCAGUGGGGAAUAUUGCGCAAUGGGGGAAACCCUGACGCAGCAACGCCGCGUGAGCGAUGAAGGUCUUCGGAUUGUAAAGCUCUGUCUUUUGGGACGAUAAUGACGGUACCAAAGGAGGAAGCCACGGCUAACUACGUGCCAGCAGCCGCGGUAAUACGUAGGUGGCAAGCGUUGUCCGGAUUUACUGGGCGUAAAGAGUAUGUAGGCGGACAUUUAAGUCAGAUGUGAAAUUCCCGGGCUUAACCUGGGAGCUGCAUUUGAUACUGGGUGUCUAGAGUGCAGGAGAGGAAAGUGGAAUUCCUAGUGUAGCGGUGAAAUGCGUAGAGAUUAGGAAGAACACCAGUGGCGAAGGCGACUUUCUGGACUGUAACUGACGCUGAAAUACGAAAGCGUGGGGAGCAGACAGGAUUAGAUACCCUGGUAGUCCACGCCGUAAACGAUGAAUACUAGGUGUCGGAGGGUACCACCUUCGGUGCCGCAACAAACGCAAUAAGUAUUCCGCCUGGGGAGUACGGUCGCAAGAUUAAAACUCAAAGGAAUUGACGGGGACCCGCACAAGCAGCGGAGCAUGUGGUUUAAUUCGAAGCAACGCGAA
rnacentral:rRNA from 1 species